AAUCCAUAGGUUAAUGAGGCGAACCGGGGGAACUGAAACAUCUAAGUACCCCGAGGAAAAGAAAUCAACCGAGAUUCCCCCAGUAGCGGCGAGCGAACGGGGAGGAGCCCAGAGCCUGAAUCAGCAUGUGUGUUAGUGGAAGCGUCUGGAAAGGCGCGCGAUACAGGGUGACAGCCCCGUACACAAAAGCGCAUGUGCUGUGAGCUCGAUGAGUAGGGCGGGACACGUGGUAUCCUGUCUGAAUAUGGGGGGACCAUCCUCCAAGGCUAAAUACUCCUGACUGACCGAUAGUGAACCAGUACCGUGAGGGAAAGGCGAAAAGAACCCCGGCGAGGGGAGUGAAAAAGAACCUGAAACCGUGUACGUACAAGCAGUGGGAGCCCCACCACCAAAGCAUUUGCUGUACCGCGUUGACGGAGCGAAGCGACGU
rnacentral:rRNA from 2 species